ensembl:lncRNA
AGAUUACUUAACAUCAAACCUAUAAAAAAAUUGUUCAUUAAACCAAAGCAAUCAAAUACCUCACAAUCUGGCCAGAAAGGUUCUUUCGGCAUUUCGCUUACAUGGUUGGCUUCCACCUAUCCCCUCAGACGGAAGGGAAAGAACCUAAAGAGUAGAAAUAUCGGACGGGGCGAGCUAGAGGCGUACACAUGGGAUAGCAAACCGUAUAAAAGGGAAGCCCCAACCGAGGGGCAGAUCAGAUCACUUUGGGACGUCUCACUGGUGGGAUCUCGUGUUGGUUGGACGAUAAAAUUGGACCCGUUCUUCUCUCACCUACGGUGUUCUAGUGUAUUUCUUCAUCCGCAAACCGGACUAGCUGAUCGCUUAUCCUACAGAGUCGUGGGGGAGCCUGGAGCCUAUCCCAGGGAACUCGGGGCACAAGGUGGGGGACAUCCUGGACGGGGUGCCAGUCCACUGCAGUGCACAAUCACACACCUUCACAUGUGUUUGGACUGGCGGAGGAAACCGGAGUACCCAGAGGAAAGCAGGAGGAGAACAUGCAUGCUCAGCGCACACAGGGUGGAGGUGGGAUUCAAACCCCCGACUACGGGGGUACACAACACACAUGCUAACCGUUUAGCUACGACGCUCCCAAUGCUUUAAAUAUGUAACUGUGGAUUCGUGGCAAAGUGGCCUAGUGAAAAAUGUGAAAAUCAAGGAAAUCUGUUUUUUUUUUUUGUUGUUGUUGUUUUUUUUUAAACACAUUUUAUAAAUAAAAUAUUCUCGCAUUUCCCUUCAAUAUUGUGUUAUAUGUCAUUUAAAGUCGGCCAAUGAUCUGUCUAAAGGGUUGUUUAUUAUACUAUCUGUUUUUCAUCAUGUUAGACACCUCGCUGUAGUUCGUCGGGAAGCCGACUCUCAUCCGCACCGUGCAGUCUUGUUUACGGUCGUGCGCAGGCUAUCUGCUUGUUUAUUUUCCGCUAAUCCGUUAAUUCGUUUAUUUUCCUUCCUUCCUUUUAAUGAUUCAUUAAAGCUGCUGUGCUUUAGAUGCAUCCGCAGACACUGGGCACGUGUGUUUUGAAUGUAGCUCGUUAGCUUCUUCGCGC